rnacentral:rRNA from 1 species
AAUGGGUCAGCGACUUAUAUUCUGUAGCAAGGUUAACCGAAUAGGGGAGCCGAAGGGAAACCGAGUCUUAACUGGGCGUUAAGUUGCAGGGUAUAGACCCGAAACCCGGUGAUCUAGCCAUGGGCAGGUUGAAGGUUGGGUAACACUAACUGGAGGACCGAACCGACUAAUGUUGAAAAAUUAGCGGAUGACUUGUGGCUGGGGGUGAAAGGCCAAUCAAACCGGGAGAUAGCUGGUUCUCCCCGAAAGCUAUUUAGGUAGCGCCUCGUGAAUUCAUCUCCGGGGGUAGAGCACUGUUUCGGCAAGGGGGUCAUCCCGACUUACCAACCCGAUGCAAACUGCGAAUACCGGAGAAUGUUAUCACGGGAGACACACGGCGGGUGCUAACGUCCGUCGUGAAGAGGGAAACAACCCAGACCGCCAGCUAAGGUCCCAAAGUCAUGGUUAAGUGGGAAACGAUGUGGGAAGGCCCAGACAGCCAGGAUGUUGGCUUAGAAGCAGCCAUCAUUUAAAGAAAGCGUAAUAGCUCACUGGUCGAGUCGGCCUGCGCGGAAGAUGUAACGGGGCUAAACCAUGCACCGAAGCUGCGGCAGCGACGCCUAUGCGUUGUUGGGUAGGGGAGCGUUCUGUAAGCCUGCGAAGGUGUGCUGUGAGGCAUGCUGGAGGUAUCAGAAGUGCGAAUGCUGACAUAAGUAACGAUAAAGCGGGUGAAAAGCCCGCUCGCCGGAAGACCAAGGGUUCCUGUCCAACGUUAAUCGGGGCAGGGUGAGUCGACCCCUAAGGCGAGGCCGAAAGGCGUAGUCGAUGGGAAACAGGUUAAUAUUCCUGUACUUGGUGUUACUGCGAAGGGGGGACGGAGAAGGCUAUGUUGGCCGGGCGACGGUUGUCCCGGUUUAAGCGUGUAGGCUGGUUUUCCAGGCAAAUCCGGAAAAUCAAGGCUGAGGCGUGAUGACGAGGCACUACGGUGCUGAAGCAACAAAUGCCCUGCUUCCAGGAAAAGCCUCUAAGCAUCAGGUAACAUCAAAUCGUACCCCAAACCGACACAGGUGGUCAGGUAGAGAAUACCAAGGCGCUUGAGAGAACUCGGGUGAAGGAACUAGGCAAAAUGGUGCCGUAACU